UACGUAGGGGGCAAGCGUUGUCCGGAUUUAUUGGGCGUAAAGAGCGUGUAGGCGGUCAGGUAGGUCCGUUGUGAAAACUCGAGGCUCAACCUCGAGACGCCGAUGGAAACCAUCUGACUAGAGUCCGGAAGAGGAGAGUGGAAUUCCUGGUGUAGCGGUGAAAUGCGCAGAUAUCAGGAGGAACACCAAUGGCGAAGGCAGCUCGCUGGGACGGUACUGACGCUGAGACGCGAAAGCGUGGGGAGCAAACAGG
rnacentral:rRNA from 1 species